CGAUGACCGGAAGCAGCAACAUUCCUCUUCUGGCAAACGUGGCCCCCAAGCCACGAAAAUGUCUCGCUCCGACCCUACGACAUGACAUGAAUCGCCCACACCAAACUCCACGUCAUGAACCGCCCUGCAAGAACCACCGGGCCACACCCCGACUAGCAGCCGAGGGCGGCGUCAGUCCCGCAUGCCUGUGCGGGCACCUCCGAAUAGCGCUGAUCAAUGCUUGCUCUGUGAUGCAUCACGCGGCCCGAGCGAUCCAGACUGCACACAAACCUCUGCCUGAACGUGGCUUCGCUGGUGGGAGAGGCGAGGAAACGUCCGCCAUCUGUGGGGAACACCCGCGGCCACCAGCGAGGACCGACGGUUACAAUUGUGGGUGGAGUCGGGCCAGCUGUCCAACCAAUACAUUUCUCACAAGCCACCACAAGCACUGGCCACGAGAGGCCCAAGUAGCAGAUCGUGUGCACGCAGUCAAGAGCAAUCAAUCCUGUCACACACUGACCGGCCACGAGAGCCCCAGGUGCGAGUUCGGACACACAUGGCAGAAAGCGAUACAUCAACUCAAUGUGACAGCAGGUGUCACGUCUUUCUCGCCUCCGCACACCCACGCACAUUUUCUUCUUCUUCUGGGUGCCACAUCUUCGCUUCAAUCCAGUUUCCUCACCCUCAUUGCUUGACCAUAUCACAACUUCUCACCUCGCCGCCAGCCAUUCUCCUGCCACAAACUGGCACAUGCAGUGCCAAUACAAAGUGUACACCCCCUUUUCACAUUUUUCAUCUUUUCUUGCCUUACAGCCUGGAAUGAAAUUGCAUUAAGUCAGACCCUUUUCACCUUCAUUUACACAUCAUAACCCAUAAACUCCCAAGUGAAAAACAAAAUUCGACAAAUUCCAGAAAAUUAAUUAAAAAUACAAAACGAGAAUAUCUUGGUUGGAUAACUGUCCACCCUCCUUAUUGAUGAGAGAGCCAUGAUCUCUCUUGGGCAAGCCACAUUUCAAAGUUGGCCUCCAAAUCCAGAAGCCAACUGAUCAUCCUUGACACACCUGAGCUCCUGUCCACCUUUAAAGGCUUUCAUCCGCAGCUUCAUGGAGUACUGCUCUCCCCUCUGAGCUGGUGCCCCUGCCUCACACUUUGCUCAGCUUUACGCCGUGGAAACCAAAUGUGAAAGAGCAGUUUUACCACUACAUUGAGUCGAUGGUAGCUGCAGUUUGUUUUCCCUUAACUUGGACUAUUCCACACCCCCACCCCACACACUAAGUGAAAUGGAAGAGUUCACAAGAGAGGAUUAAGGGUUCUGGAGUGAGAGUGAUCGGACGCUCCUGCACGAUUCUCUUCAGUAAUCAAGACUUAAUAAAACAGAUCUCACAACUUAAGUUUUUGUUAAGAUUCUAAUUGUAAGAAUUUUUCUUGAUUUCAUAUUGUGGUAUAUGUAGUGGUGUAUGUCAUUAUUUUGGGACUCCUUUGGAACAGACUUGUGGCUGUGAUGUGCGAUGUACUUGGCUGGGGGAGGUAUGGUCUGGGGCCUUGUCCCUCGAGGCUUAAACAGCUGGGGUGAGUGACGAUUAUGUUGUCACAAAGGAGUUAUGCGAUGAUUGUGUCAUGUGUUUUUCCUGCUUUUCUCUUAAAAUGCUAUCCAUUUACAAUAUUGAUUACUAGUGAAUGAGUUGUACACACCUAUAGUUUACUGUUUAUUAAUAUGGAAUCGACUUGACGUCAUACUUGCAGAGUUUUGCCAGGACCUUAUUUAUCAAUACUUUUGUGAAGUAUCGGGUUGUGUACAUUUUGAAUAUGGUUUGUUUGUUUGUAUUUCUGGAAUACACAUGUUUUAUUUGACGUUGCAACUGAAAUAAAGACGAAUGGAC
rnacentral:lncRNA from 1 species